GAGCCCGUAACUCAGCUGGAUAGAGUGCCAAAUUCCUAAUUUGGAAGCCGUGGGUUCGAAUCCCGCCGGGCUCGCCA
rnacentral:tRNA from 1 species